UAGUCAUAUGCUUGUCUCAAAGAUUAAGCCAUGCAUGUCUAAGUAUAAGCAAUCUAUACGGUGAAACUGCGAAUGGCUCAUUAAAUCAGUUAUCGUUUAUUUGAUAGUACCUUACUACUUGGAUAACCGUGGUAAUUCUAGAGCUAAUACAUGCUAAAAGGCCCGACUUCGGAAGGGUCGUAUUUAUUAGAUAAAAAACCAAUGCCCUUCGGGGCUCCUUGGUGAUUCAUAAUAACUUAACGAAUCGCAUGGCCUUGUGCCGGCGAUGGUUCAUUCAAAUUUCUGCCCUAUCAACUUUCGAUGGUAGGAUAGUGGCCUACCAUGGUUUCAACGGGUAACGGGGAAUUAGGGUUCUAUUCCGGAGAGGGAGCCUGAGAAACGGCUACCACAUCCAAGGAAGGCAGCAGGCGCGCAAAUUACCCAAUCCCGACACGGGGAGGUAGUGACAAUAAAUACUGAUACAGGGCUCUUUUGGGUCUUGUAAUUGGAAUGAGUACAAUUUAAAUCCCUUAACGAGGAACAAUU
rnacentral:rRNA from 1 species